rnacentral:lncRNA from 1 species
UGAUUUAAUUAUAUGUCAAGACGAAGAGGAGAUAGACAGAGAUGCACCAACUUUGAUUUUAUUUAAAUUUUUGUAUGAACAACGAUAAAUCAAUGCUGAAAGCACAAUUUGUUCGGCUCCUAUCUGUCCUGUCACUUUGUGAAUUGUGAUAUCUUGGGAAAAGAGAACUAUUUCUUCCUAGAGAUGGAAGAGUUCUGAGAUGUAGAAUUUGAAAUAUAUUUCUUCAACUGAUUAGAAUAUUAUUUUAUUUUUACAAUCAGAAACUCAAUACAGCUUUAUGCAGUCAGAAUAUAUCGAAUAAAACCUCAUCCAAAAUGGUUCGUGCACCCAUUAAAAUGAAUAUUUUAGAUGUAAAAG